GGGCCGGUUUCGGCGGGCGGCAGGGGCGCGGUCGCAGCGGUGCACGGGCCGGGGGCAUGCGAGCGGCGUCGGAACAGGGCUGCACCCCCCCUAGCCCCCGCGCGCGCCCCGCUCCAGACGGUGGAGGCGACCGCGUGCCGGAAAAUCCCGGCGGGGCGGCGCCGGUCCGGCGUGCAGGCGGUGCGAGCCGUGCGGAGUCGAGGGGGGCUUUGCCGGGCCGGCGGGCGGAAGAGGCGGCGCGGGCGCUGCGCUGGUCCCGGCCGGUGCCGGUCGCUCUGUCCGCUCCCCGCGAGGAGAACGAGCCAACGUCCCGUCACGUUUCAGCAAUGCCAAAUCACCUCAUCUCUUCUUAAUCCAGGCAGGCUCUGCGACGACGGCGUCGGCCUCCGAGCGCAGCCGAAGCGUGCGCCCCGAGGAGCCCGGCAUUCUUAGGAGAAUGCUGUUUCUGUACUCCUGACUUCCCGUCACGCCAGGGACACGUGGCUUGGAGCACAGCAGCCGGAUUCCUCACUUAGCCGUGUCAGCUUGGUGCAGGUUACGAAUUACAGGGUGACUUGGAAACCCAGAAACAAAGGGAAGAAGCUGGUAUGUCUCUUAGCAGGG